UACGUAGGGUGCAAGCGUUGUCCGGAAUUAUUGGGCGUAAAGAGCUCGUAGGCGGUCUGUCGCGUCGGCUGUGAAAUCCCGAGGCUCAACCUCGGGUCUGCAGUCGAUACGGGCAAACUAGAGUAUUGCAGGGGAGACUGGAAUUCCUGGUGUAGCGGUGAAAUGCGCAGAUAUCAGGAGGAACACCGGUGGCGAAGGCGGGUCUCUGGUACGUGACUGACGCUGAGACGCGAAAGCGUGGGGAGCGAACAGG
rnacentral:rRNA from 1 species